AGUAACAAGAGAUGUUGGCUGAUAGCUGAAGUAUUUCUUCUUCAGAAGUAUUAUGAGGAGAAAAACAUGUGCCACUAUCUAGGAUCACACAAUCUAGGAUUGAACUCUCAACCUUCUGAGUGGGAAGCGAGCAUCUUCACCAUGAGGCCACCAUUCAGGUUUAUGAGAUGUUUCCAGGUGAUUCCACUGGGUGAGAAUGAAACUGUAGAAUCUAUGAGUCUUCAGGUCUAAUUUAUAUAUACUACAACUGCAUGGUGUACCAUGACUACCAAGUUCAAUGGAAUAUUAUCCUUUGAUGUGGCUGGGACAACUGAAAAUAAAAUAAAGAAGACAUCAGUUCAAGAGCUUUUAUUUGUUCAUUCCCUUUGGUAGUUGUAACCAUCACAAUAAAAGAAAAUGCCA